GUGAGGUAUAUAAGCUGCCGCCUGCCCGGUGCUGGCAGGUUAAGAGGAGGGGGUAGCGCAAGCGAAGUUUUGAAUUGAAGCCCCAGUAAACGGCGGCCGUAACUAUAACGGUCCUAAGGUAGCGAAAUUCCUUGUCGGGUAAGUUCCGACCUGCACGAAAGGUGUAAUGAUUUGGGCACUGUCUCAACGAGAGACUCGGUGAAAUUAUAAUACCCGUGAAGAUGCGGGUUACCCGCGACAGGACGGAAAGACCCCAUGGAGCUUUACUGCAGUUUAAUAUUGGGUAUCUGUCAAGCAUGUACAGGAUAGGUAGGAGCCGGAGAAGAUAGGACGCCAGUCUUAUCGGAGGCGCUGUUGGGAUACUACCCUUGCUUGACGGAUGCUCUAACUCAGGCGUGUAAACCAGGCCGAGGACAGUGUGUGGUGGGUAGUUUGACUGGGGCGGUCUCCUCCCAAAGAGUAACGGAGGAGCACGAAGGUCGGCUGAUCACGGUCGGAAACCGUGAGGUCAGUGCAAUGGCAAAAGCCGGCUUGACUGCGAGAGCAACAACUCGAGCAGGUGCGAAAGCAGGUCAUAGUGAUCCGGUGGUUCCGUAUGGAAGGGCCAUCGCUCAACGGAUAAAAGGUACUCCGGGGAUAACAGGCUGAUACCGCCCAAGAGUUCACAUCGACGGCGGUGUUUGGCACCUCGAUGUCGGCUCAUCACAUCCUGGGGCUGAAGUCGGUCCCAAGGGUAUGGCUGUUCGCCAUUUAAAGUGGUACGCGAGCUGGGUUUAGAACGUCGUGAGACAGUUCGGUCCCUAUCUGCCGUGGGCGUUGGAUGUUUGAGAAGAGCUGCUCCUAGUACGAGAGGACCGGAGUGGACGACCCUCUGGUGUUCCGGUUGUCACGCCAGUGGCAUUGCCGGGUAGCUAUGGUCGGACGGGAUAACCGCUGAAAGCAUCUAAGCGGGAAGCCCCCUUCAAGAUGAGACAUCCCCGAGGCCUAGAGCCUCCUGAAGGGCCCAGCGAGACCAGCUGGUUGAUAGGCACGGUGUGGAAGCGCUGCAAGGCGUUGAGCUAACGUGUACUAAUGGCCCGUGAGGCUUGACCCUAUAACACCCAAGGGGU
rnacentral:rRNA from 1 species